GCCCAAUUGCAAGCAUACAUUUCACGUUGACUGCAUU
rnacentral:sRNA from 1 species